rnacentral:rRNA from 1 species
CAGCCGCCACGGUAAUACGUAGGGUGCAAGCGUUAAUCGGAAUUACUGGGCGUAAAGCGUGCGCAGGCGGUUUGUUAAGACAGAUGUGAAAUCCCCGGGCUCAACCUGGGAACUGCAUUUGUGACUGGCAAGCUAGAGUGUGGCAGAGGGGGGUGGAAUUCCGCGUGUAGCAGUGAAAUGCGUAGAUAUGCGGAGGAACACCGAUGGCGAAGGCAGCCCCCUGGGCCAACACUGACGCUCAUGCACGAAAGCGUGGGGAGCAAACAGGAUUAGAUACCCGUGUAGUCCCUGUCUCUUAUAC